rnacentral:rRNA from 1 species
UACGUAGGGUGCGAGCGUUAAUCGGAAUUACUGGGCGUAAAGGGCGCGUAGGCGGGCCGUCAAGUCAGGGGUGAAAGCCCCCAGCUCAACUGGGGAAGUGCCUUUGAUACUGACGAUCUCGAGGGAGGUAGGGGCGUGCGGAACUUCCGGUGGAGCGGUGAAAUGCGUAGAUAUCGGAAGGAACGCCGGUGGCGAAAGCGGCGCGCUGGACCUCUUCUGACGCUGAGGCGCGAAAGCCAGGGGAGCAAACGGG